AAAUGUUUGUUAAAAUAUGAAAAGGAAAGGAUGAAAGUCGCAAUCAUCAAAUGAACGGAAUGACCACAGGCAGCUUACGUAGCUAUCAGCAGCACGACUGGAAACUGCAGACAACUGUAGCACGAUCAGAGCUGGAGGGUAUGAUAUGAAAUCGAUCCAAAACCAGCACAACCGAUGGGUUUAAAUAUAUCUCAAAACUUCGUGAAUCUGGCUGGUCCUAUCUUUAAUCAAGAAUUCUCACCACCAUUAUCAUCAUCAAUGAAACACAAAAAUUCACCAGACCAUUAUGCUCACAAA